GGGGGGAGCAAGCGUUGUUCGGAAUUACUGGGCGUAAAGGGCGCGUAGGCGGUCAGGUAAGUGAGAUGUGAAAUCCUCCGGCUCACCCGGAGAAAUGCAUCUCAUACUGCUUGACUAGAGUGCGGAAGAGGAAUCGGGAAUUCCAGGUGUAGCGGUGAAAUGCGUAGAUAUCUGGAGGAACACCGGUGGCGAAGGCGCGAUUCUGGUCCGUUACUGACGCUGAGGCGCGAAAGCCAGGGGAGCAAACGGGAUUAGAUACCCCGGUAGUCCUGGCCGUAAACGGUGAACACUAGGUGUGGGGAGUAUCGACCCUCUCCGUGCCGCAGCCAACGCAUUAAGUGUUCCGCCUGGGGAGUACGGUCGC
rnacentral:rRNA from 1 species